rnacentral:rRNA from 1 species
UCGGGGUGCACCAGGCGCGAAAACUUUACAAUGCUGGCAACAGCGAUAAGGGGACCUCGAGUGCCAGGAUACAAUCUUGGCUGUCGUAAUGCCUAAAAAGCAUUGCAUAGCAAGGGCCGGGCAAGACCGGUGCCAGCCGCCGCGGUAACACCGGCGGCUCGAGUGGUAACCGCUAUUAUUGGGUCUAAAGGGUCUGUAGCCGGCCGGAUAAGUCUUUUGGGAAAUCCAGCUGCUCAACAGUUGGGCUUUCAGAAGAUACUGUUCGGCUCGAGGCCGGGAGAGGUGAGAGGUACUUCAGGGGUAGGGGUGAAAUCUUGUAAUCCUUGAAGGACCACCAGUGGCGAAGGCGUCUCACCAGAACGGACCUGACGGCAAGGGACGAAAGCUAGGGGCACGAACCGGAUUAGAUACCCGGGUAGUCCUAGCCGUAAACGAUACUCGCUAGGUGUCAGCCACGGUGCGACCGUGGUUGGUGCCGUAGGGAAGCCGUGAAGCGAGCCACCUGGGAAGUACGGCCGCAAGGCUGAAACUUAAAGGAAUUGGCGGGGGAGCACAAAUCACUAGUGAAUU